GGAGCCGUAGCGAAAGCGAGUUUUAACUGAGCGUUCAGUUACUUGACGUAGACCCGAAACCGGGCGACCUACCCAUGAGCAGGAUGAAGCGAAAGUAAAAUUUCGUGGAGGUCCGAACCCACGAGCGUUGAAAAGCUCGGGGAUGACUUGUGGGUAGCGGUGAAAUUCCAAUCGAGCCCGGAGAUAGCUGGUUCUCCCCGAAAUAGCUUUAGGGCUAGCCUCAAGGUGAGAGAUACGGAGGUAGAGCACUGAAUGUCCUAGGGGGUAUUGCACCUACCGAAGACUAUCAAACUCCGAAUGCCGUCAUCUUAUACUUGGGAGUCAGACUGUGGGUGAUAAGAUUCAUAGUCGAAAGGGCAACAGCCCAGAUCGUCAGCUAAGGUCCCUAAAUGUAAGUUAAGUGGUAAAGGAUGUGGGAUUGCACAGACAACCAGGAUGUUGGCUUAGAAGCAGCCACUCAUUCAAAGAGUGCGUAAUAGCUCACUGGUCGAGUGAUCCUGCGCCGAAGAUUUCCGGGGCUAAAACUUACUACCGAAGCUACGGCAUCAGUAAUGAUGGGUAGGGGAGCUUCCCAUACGGGUUGAAGCAUGACCGUAAGGACAUGGGGACAGUAUGGGAGUGAGAAUGUUGGCAUGAGUAGCGAGAUGUGGGUGGGAAUCCCACAGGCCGUAAACCCAAGGUUUCCAGGGGAAGGUUCGUCCACCCUGGGUUAGUCGGGACCUAAGCUGAGGCCGAAAGGCGUAGGUGAUGGACAACAGGUUGAUAUUCCUGUACUACCGAUAACCGUUUGAGAGAAGGGAUGACACAGUAGGAUAAGCUAAGCACACUGUUGGUUAUGUGUGCCCAAGCAUUGAGGCAGUCAAAGUAGGCAAAUCCGCUUUGAUAAUGCUGGGAUGUGAUGGGGAGCGAAAUUUAGUAGCGAAGUAGCUGAUUUCACACUGUCAAGAAAAGUCUCUAUCGAGGUUAAAGGUACCCGUACCGCAAACCGACACAGGUGGGUGAGGAGAGUAUCCUAAGGCCAGCGAGAGAACUGUUGUUAAGGAACUCGGCAAAAUGACCCCGUAACUUAGGGAUAAGGGGUGCCACCAUCAGGUGGCCGCAGAGAAUAGGCCCAAGCGACUGUUUACCAAAAACAUAGGUUUCUGCUAAGUCGCAAGACGAUGUAUAGGAGCUGACGCCUGCCCGGUGCUGGAAGGUUAAGGGGAUCUGUUAGAGCAAUCGAAGCAGUGAACUUAAGCCCCAGUAAACGGCGGCCGUAACUAUAACGGUCCUAAGGUAGCGAAAUUCCUUGUCGGGUAAGUUCCGACCCGCACGAAAGGCGUAACGAUUUGGGCACUGUCUCA
rnacentral:rRNA from 1 species